rnacentral:siRNA from 1 species
CCUGCAUGAUUGAUGAUA